GACGAACGCUGGCGGCGUGCUUAACACAUGCAAGUCGAACGGAAAGGCCCUGCUUUUGUGGGGUGCUCGAGUGGCGAACGGGUGAGUAACACGUGAGUAACCUGCCCUUGACUUUGGGAUAACUUCAGGAAACUGGGGCUAAUACCGGAUAGGAGCUCCUGCUGCAUGGUGGGGGUUGGAAAGUUUCGGCGGUUGGGGAUGGACUCGCGGCUUAUCAGCUUGUUGGUGGGGUAGUGGCUUACCAAGGCUUUGACGGGUAGCCGGCCUGAGAGGGUGACCGGCCACAUUGGGACUGAGAUACGGCCCAGAGUCCUACGGGAGGCAGCAGUGGGGAAUAUUGCAAAAUGGGCGGAAGCAUGAUGCAGCAACGCCGCGUGCGGGAUGACGGCCUUCGGGUUGUAAACCGCUUUCGCCUGUGACGAAGCGUGAGUGACGGUAAUGGGUAAAGAAGCACCGGCUAACUACGUG
rnacentral:rRNA from 1 species